UACGGAGGGGGCUAGCGUUGUUCGAAAUUACUGGGCGUAAAGCGCACGUAGGCGGCUUUGUAAGUUAGAGGUGAAAGCCCGGGGCUCAACUCCGGAAUUGCCUUUAAGACUGCAUCGCUAGAAUUGUGGAGAGGUAAGUGGAAUUCCGAGUGUAGAGGUGAAAUUCGUAGAUAUUCGGAAGAACACCAGUGGCGAAGGCGACUUACUGGACACAUAUUGACGCUGAGGUGCGAAAGCGUGGGGAGCAAACAGG
rnacentral:rRNA from 1 species